rnacentral:rRNA from 1 species
CCUCGGGAGGCAGCAGUAGGGAAUUUUCCGCAAUGGGCGAAAGCCUGACGGAGCAAUACCGCGUGAGGGACGACGGCCUGUGGGUUGUAAACCUCUUUUCUCAAGGAAGAAGUUCUGACGGUACUUGAGGAAUAAGCAUCGGCUAACUCUGUGCCAGCAGCCGCGGUAAUACAGAGGAUGCAAGCGUUAUCCGGAAUCACUGGGCAUAAAGCGUCUGUAGGUUGUUUAGUAAGUCUGCUGUUAAAGACUGGGGCUUAACCCCAGAAAAGCAGUGGAAACUGCUAGACUCGAGUGUGGUAGAGGUAGAGGGAAUUCCUAGUGUAGCGGUGAAAUGCGUAGAUAUUAGGAAGAACACCAAUGGCGAAGGCACUCUACUGGGCCAUAACUGACACUGAGAGACGACAGCUAGGGGAGCAAACGGGAUUAGAUACCCCGGUAGUCCUAGCCGUAAACGAUGGAUACUAGAUGUUGCACGUAUUAACCCGUGCAGUAUCGUAGCUAAGGCGUUAAGUAUCCCGCCUGGGAAGUACGCUCGCAAAGAGUGAAACUCAAAUGAAAUUGACGGCUGAGAGNGCGAGACGACACGAGGAGAG